rnacentral:lncRNA from 1 species
AGAUUAAACUAAAUUAUUGGAGAUUCUCAUGAAGAUUGCUAAAUUGUAAGAUUCUGUAAAUUUUGUUGGGUUAGUUUAUAGUAUUCUCGAGCCAAGUAGCAUGCCAAAAUUAAGAUGAAAUACCUCUCUAUGUUGCCCAAAACAGGAUAUUUGCUUAUUCUUUUUUUGAAUAGUUUUCUGUGCUUUAAGUUUCUCUUUCGUGCUGACAUUGUUUUGGCUUUCAACAUUUACUAACUUAGUUUGGCUUAGCUUUGUAUUCAAUGCCAUUAUGAACUUACACCACUAUCUAUGAUCAAAAGUAUUAUUACUGUAACGUUCUUUUAACUCUUCUAUAGAGAUGGUCACACAAAUAUUUCAAAACAUGUGGCCAAUUUUAUGGCAAUGAGAAAGUCAAACCAUUCGUUACAUACUUUAUGUAAAAGUAACUUUUUAUAACUGUAUUUCCUCAUAUUUCCAUAGUUGAUCUGAUUUCUUAAUUUAUGUGUAUGAGUCUAUGCUUCAAGAUCACAAUGAUAAGCAACCAAAAUAUCGCUAAGGACCACACUCACUCUGUAAGUGUCUAAUAUAUUUGUAACUUACAGGAGGACAUAAAGGUUGAUGAUUAGCCUAUAAUAUCAAUGAUAAAGAGAUUUUGCUAAAAUAUCUGUUGAGAAUUACAUGAACCCAGGAUAAGUGAAAUGAUUCCUUAAAGAAGAUUGGUUUAGCCUCGUAUAUCUUAUAUGCUCCGUACUUACUUUCUGUUUUUACUGACUCUAGUGAUGGGUUCUUUAGCUUCAAGAGAUCAUCUUUCAGCUUCAAGGAGAGACCAUUCGUUACCCAAGAGCAUACAAUGUUUAAGGUGAUGUACCUCUCUAUCUGCCUCUCUCUUACUUCAAACUGAACAGACCAGUCCUCUGGUCUGGCUUGAUCAACAGGUUGAUACAGCCAAUUAUCUCUGUUUUUGUAUCUUCUCACCAUCCAAAAGCAGAAUCUAAGACACAGCAUUAUCCAAGCUAUUUAAACACGCACAAAAUAAACAGAACACAAACACAAUUUCAAACACAAACUCAAACACAUAGCAAAAACUAAAUACUAUUUAAAAAACUUCACAUUCCACGAACUUGAGCACUCACUUGCUUAUCGAAAGAGCUAUUGUUAAACCAUUGAUAAGAAUCCGGUAAAAGGCCUUGUUAAAACUAACACAGACUGUUAAGACGAAGGCACAGAUGGAAGCGUUUGAUAAAUUGUAUGUGGUCUGCGGCUGUGGCUGCUGUUGGAUAUACAUGUAAUUUAUUGCGCAUGUCCCUGUAAAAUCGCUUAUAGACAGAAGUUAUAGACAUAGCAAUUCUAUAAGAGGACACUAAGAGACUUUGAAAAUGGACGUGAUUAAACCUAAUAGCUCACCACAUUAUCUCCAGCAUGCCUUUUCGUGCCUCUACUCCAAUGAUCACGCGAAUCCAAUCCCUCGUCUUGAAGUUCACAGCCAAUGGCAGUGAGAUAAAACAGUAUUCAGUACCAUAGCUCGAGCUUCCUCGGGAAACCGUUGAUCCUAACAUAUAGCAGACUAAGACAUUGCACCAAUACUUCAAUUAUGAUUUCAUCAACUAAUAGAUCAUACGAAAAAUACACAGGAAAAUCUUGAUUAACUUACCUACUUCAGUUUUUUAAACUUCGCCUGAAAAACCUUUUGAAAACCAGAGAAAUGUUGAAACAUGUUUAACCAAAUAGCAUGAUUAAGUAAAAAAAAGUUUAAUUUGGAAAAUUUCAACUCAAAACUAUCUUAAAGCCAGUUGUUACCAGGAUUAAAAUAAUUAUUUUCUUAACAACCUGAAUUCAAUAAAAGGUAUCAGCAAAAGAAAGUUGAGCUCAGUACAACUCCAAACUUAAUUGACUCACCUGACCCAUCAGGAUGCAACUUCCUAUAAAUACCGAGGUCACUUCAUCAACGUAUCCAAUGGAAACUGAGUUGUAGUGUGCAUUAUUUGCCUCCUCAAAGAAGCUAACUUGUAUCUCUACACUCAGCUCCUUUGUCAGCUUAUGUAUCCUCUAUUUGUAAACCAUAUCGAGCACAACUGUAUAACAAAUACAUCUCGAAAUGAAAUCCACCGUGUUGAUAAAAGUAUCAAAGGUGCAUCAAGAUGAAAAAUGUCCUUUUAAGGCUUGGAUUGCAGAAAAGUCCUCUCUUUGUGCUUGACAGAAGUAAUAUACCUAAAAAGUCUCCUAUAUGGAGAUACUUGCAUUCAUCUUUUAUAGAAAUCAUUUUGUAAUACUGCAACAGUAAGGAGAAGGCAAUAUAUAUCACUACAGAACAUGACCCUACUUGACUCCUGAGUCCGAGGAUAGAGCAUCACGUCAAUACUUAAGGAAAGUGAUGAUAAUCUAAAUGGAAACACUAUAGCAGAGAUGUGGCUUUCUGAGAAAACAAAAACUGAGAAAUGUUUAAGAGCAAGAAUGACCUGAAUAAGAACGAUGUUUGCUUCCUUUGCGUGUACUUCUCUGACCAGAAACCAAAACUAAACAAAAGCUCCACCACAUUCUCUCCAUCGCUUGUACCUGGCUCAUUCGCUCUCUCUCUCUCUNNNNNNNNNNNNNNNNNNNNNNNNNNNNNNNNNNNNNNNNNNNNNNNNNNNNNNNNNNNNNNNNNNNNNNNNNNNNNNNNNNNNNNNNNNNNNAGUUUCUUUGACCACCCGAAGCAGCCAAUGUAACACCAACCCUCAUCUUUCUGAAUCGCAGUCACUACAGAGAAACUCAAUGAUCUGUCAAGUUUAGGAGAAGAACACAAUUCUGAAUUAUAUUCUCAAAGAGUCCUAAAUUUGAAUAUAACAGACUUUACCUGAGGAUCAGCAGUGAUAAUAAAACAUUUAAAAAGCUACAUUUGUCUUCUGCCCUGGGUUUUAAAUAGCGAUUCCGAGGAUUGUGCUUGUGGAGAAGAGGUACAGAAAGUUUUCAAAUACUCGUAGAGCCGUCAAACCAUAGAUGCUUUCAACGUGAAUCUUUUGAACGACGUUGAAGUGAACAACUGAGGUUGCAUCAUUCACUACUCCUUCUCCAAGGACUAAGCUGUAUAGCAAUGGAGUCUCAUCUUGAUGGAGAAUAUGUAAUGUUAACAUGGAUAUUGUAAAAUCUUGUAAACAUACAAGCUUGAGAAGAAGGAAUCUCAGGACAGAGAUACUCUUUUCAAAAAUCAAGAACCUGUAGAGUGCAAACAGUAUCAGUUGAUGAGAAUAUGCUUCGGAUGGCUGAAUCAAGAAAAGAAAACAUUCACUCUCAAAACCAUCUAAAACAAUAAGAUAAAAAAAUAAAAUAAAUGCUGCAGAUAAAAGACAAUAUAAGGUCUCACCAAGAUAGUCUCGAGCAGUCAAUCCCUUGAAUCCCAACUUGGGAGACAGCCACCAAGUGCCUGGUUCAGAUGAUGAUUUAAAGUUUGCAUCAUCAUGGUCGUCAGUCAAGGCAUACAAGUUUGAAGAAUGUAAAAAGGAUUUUUUACCAAACAAAAUAAUGGUAGUAGAGAUGAAAACACCAAUCACACCAAAGGACAGGAUGGUUAAAAAGCUGUAAAAAAGGUUUGAGUUGAUGUGGGAUGCGAAGAGGUCGAUUGAAUGAAUGCUUCCCAGUGGAAAUGGUGUGGUGGGUUAAUCAUGCAAAAACUCAGAGUCAAUCAUGGAUUAAUGGAAGUUUGAGACCCUACGGAGGAGAUCGGAACGGCGAUUUAGUUUCUGAAGUUUUCAUCGGGCAGUCUACAUAGGUCGCUAGCAAAGAAGAAUAAACCUAAAAUUAGUGAGCUUGUCAUAAUAUUUCAAAGGUUUGGGCUUAUCAUAAUGUUUCAAGAGGCCCAGUCAUAAGCUGUAAAAAUAGCCCAGUCCAAAUAGCGGAUGAGAUAACCGGAAUAGAAAAAAUAAAUUCAGACGACGCAGUUGGUUUGGUGAGGCGACACGUGGCGAAAAAAAGCCCCACUCUUCUUGAGGAUGUGGAGGAAGGAAGAGAGAGUAUACUCUACUUUAUUAUAUAAGAUUUCCUCAUAUUUCCAUAGUUGAUCAAAAUAUAUCUGAGAUGAUGAAUAUGUGAAUGAAUAAAAAGUUAAUUAAACUGUAUUUAUAAUCUAAAUGCUUAUUUAUCUGACAUAUUUGAAUUCUUAUGAAAAUAUUUUUUUUAAUCACUACUGAUCCAAACUUAUGCACAUCUCAUAGUUUCAAAUAGAAAAUCCAACACAUAUAUAGUAUUUUUACAUUUUCUCUUUUCUAAUUGGAUCACAAUUCGCUGACAAAAAGAAAAUUGGAUCACAACUCUUAGUGUUACAAAAAAAAAAGAAAAAAAGAUCACAACUCCGAAUUAUCAAAAUUUCAGUCAUUACCUUCUGUUAGCGUUUCUCAAACUGUUACUUAUGUAAAUACUUUACAUAAGAAAUAUAUAGUAAGUUGAAAUAUGAAUGACAAAUAGAAAAUGUUCGUUACAAUUAAGAAAACACUAAUAACUUAUAUUUUAAUAAAGAUUUUGAAUGACAGUACAAAAUUACAUGACCAUGAGUAGUUAAAUUAUUUUUGGUUAAACUUCUAAGAUUUAUGGGUGGGUCAUAUUAGAAGAUUAAACUAAAUUAUUGGAGAUUCUCAUGAAGAUUGCUAAAUUGUAAGAUUCUGUAAAUUUUGUUGGGUUAGUUUAUAGUAUUCUCGAGCCAAGUAGCAUGCCAAAAUUAAGAUGAAAUACCUCUCUAUGUUGCCCAAAACAGGAUAUUUGCUUAUUCUUUUUUUGAAUAGUUUUCUGUGCUUUAAGUUUCUCUUUCGUGCUGACAUUGUUUUGGCUUUCAACAUUUACUAACUUAG